AGAACUAAAGCUUUUAUAGAAGCGGUGGCUUUUUAAUCCGAGAGAAGGUGAUGGACUCGCCUAGUUCUU
rnacentral:tRNA from 1 species